GACGUAGGAGGCGAGCGUUGUCCGGAUUCAUUGGGCGUAAAGAGCGCGCAGGCGGUUUGGUAAGUCGGAUGUGAAAUCCCGGAGCUCAACUCCGGACCUGCAUCCGAUACUGCCCGACUAGAGGUAGGUAGGGGAGAUCGGAAUUCCUGGUGUAGCGGUGAAAUGCGCAGAUAUCAGGAGGAACACCGGUGGCGAAGGCGGUUCUCUGGGCCUGUACUGACGCUGAGGAACGAAAGCGUGGGGAGCGAACAGG
rnacentral:rRNA from 1 species